UGAGCAAUCUGCCCUUCUCUUUGGAAUAAGCGUUGGAAACGACGUCUAAUGCCGAAUAUGACCUCCUUUCGCAUGAUCGGAGGUGGAAAGCUCCGGCGGAGAAGGAUGAGCUCGCGGCCUAUCAGCUAGUUGGUGUGGGUAAUGGCCCACCAAGGCGACGACGGGUAGCCGGCCUGGAGAGGGUCGACCGGCCACACGUGGGACUGAGAUACCGGCCCAGACCUCCGUACGGGAGCAG
rnacentral:rRNA from 1 species